rnacentral:rRNA from 1 species
CCUACGGGAGGCAGCAGUGAGGAAUAUUGGUCAAUGGGCGAGAGCCUGAACCAGCCAAGUUGCGUGAAGGAUGAAGGAUCUAUGGUUUGUAAACUUCUUUUAUAUGGGAAUAAAGUGAGGAACGUGUUCCUUUUUGUAUGUACCAUAUGAAUAAGCAUCGGCUAACUCCGUGCCAACAGCCGCGGUAAUACGGAGGAUGCGAGCGUUAUCCGGAUUUAUUGGGUUUAACGGGUGCGGAGGUGGUUAAUUAAGUCAGCGGUGAAAGUUUGUGGCUCAACCAUAAAAUUGCCGUUGAAACUGGUUGCCUUGAGUAUAUUUGAGGUAGGCGGAAUGCGUGGUGUAGCGGUGAAAUGCAUAGAUAUCACGAAGAACUCCGAUUGCGAAGGCAGCUUACUAAACUGCCACUGACAUUGAUGCUCGAAAGUGUGGGUAUCAAACAGGAUUAGAUACCCUUGUAGUC